UUAAAUUCUAUGAAGAGAAAAAGUAGGGCAUAUUUAUUGAUCCACAGAGAGUUGACAAGUUGCUGAAAGUCAAUGUUCAAGGUAUAUCUGAAAAUCAUCUCGGAGAAGUAAAGCUGAAGCUAUAUUUUAGUAAGUUUUAUCGGAUUUUCACCGUUAUAGGAAAAGCGUAUUAUUUAGUACGUAUUUUAAGAGUGCUAUAAAUUAAAUCUAUUUUUUUAGGUUAUAUUUAUAGAAUUAGGGUGGUAACGCGAUUAAACCUCGUCCCUUUU
rnacentral:ncRNA from 1 species